GAUGAACGCUAGCUACAGGCUUAACACAUGCAAGUCGAGGGGCAGCACAGUGUAGCAAUACACGGGUGGCGACCGGCGCACGGGUGCGUAACGCGUAUCCAACCUUCCCGUUACUCAGGGAUAGCCUUCCGAAAGGGAGAUUAAUACCUGAUGGUAUUCAAAUUUCGCAUGUUAUUUGAAUUAAAGAUUUAUCGGUAACGGAUGGGGAUGCGUGACAUUAGGUAGAUGGCGGGGUAACGGCCCACCAUGCCUACGAUGUCUAGGGGUUCUGAGAGGAAGGUCCCCCACACUGGAACUGAGACACGGUCCAGACUCCUACGGAGGCAGCAGUGAGGAAUAUGGUCAAUGUCGGAAGAACUGAACCAAGCCAAG
rnacentral:rRNA from 1 species